rnacentral:lncRNA from 1 species
AUCCUUGUAUUGUAGUUCCUGAGAAAAAUGUGACGAAAAUUUUCAACUUGGCUAUCAUGUGUAAAAUCAGACUAGUGUUCGGUAAACAGGAAGUUGUCAAGUGAUGAAUCUGAAAACGCAUCACACGGUAUGGCUGACAUAUAUAAAUGUUGAUACCAAAUUACAGAAAGGGUGGAUGUGUAGUUCCUGAGAAAAAUGUGACGAAAGUUUCAUGGGACGGACUGACUGACAGA